AAGUCGUAACAUGGUAAGCGCACCGGAAGGUGUGCUUGGAAA
rnacentral:rRNA from 1 species